rnacentral:tRNA from 1 species
GGUGACUCAGUGGUAGAGUGCUUGCCUUGCAUGCAUGAGACCCUGGGUUCCAUUCCUCAGCACCA